rnacentral:tRNA from 9 species
GCUCAUGUAGCUCAGGGGUAGAGCACACCCUUGGUAAGGGUGAGGUCGGCGGUUCAAUUCCGCCCAUGAGCUCCA